rnacentral:rRNA from 1 species
AGACAGCAGCCGCCGCGGUAAUACAGAGGGUGCGAGCGUUAAUCGGAUUUACUGGGCGUAAAGCGUGCGUAGGCGGCUUUUUAAGUCGGAUGUGAAAUCCCUGAGCUUAACUUAGGAAUUGCAUUCGAUACUGGGAAGCUAGAGUAUGGGAGAGGAUGGUAGAAUUCCAGGUGUAGCGGUGAAAUGCGUAGAGAUCUGGAGGAAUACCGAUGGCGAAGGCAGCCAUCUGGCCUAAUACUGACGCUGAGGUACGAAAGCAUUGGGAGCAAACAGGAUUAGAUACCCGGGUAGUCCCUGUCUCUUAUAC